GGAACAUCAGGACCAGGAGGAGGAGAAGUAGGAAGAGGAGGAGAAGGAGAAACGUCUGCUUGGGGAACUCUAGCUCUGCAUGCGAAAAUGGAUUAUCGGACCAAGUGGAAAUAUGUACUCUAAUAUGGAUUAUGACCACGAAACGGCAAAGGUAGGACUGGACUUUUGAUUUUAGCUUCAUGAAAUGAGCUAUUUCUUUUUUUCUUCUUUAGCUGCUGGUUCAGUGAGUUUUGCACGUAGCAUGGUGACUCUGGUAUUGUUGGAAACUGCAGCGCUUCGGCUUUACUCUGAUAGAUAGUUUUUGUAUAUCGGGCCUCCUUGCUCUUUUAUUGUUGCAUUGUCCGGGUGUGCCUCGUUAGUGUCUGAUUGCGUUUCUUUCCAUCAAUCUGAUUAGUGUUCAGUCUGGGUGUGGUUGAGAUAGAAAAUAGUUUUUCAUUUAGAAGAGCUUUUUCCCUUUACGUGGAUAUGCAAUAUACAUAUAUUGAUAAAUGUAUAGCAUGUGUUUUUAAUUGAUCUUGUUGCGGCAAGCGCCGAGGACCCAAAUUUGGGUCCCCUAGCGACAGAGAUUUUAAAGAUAACUGCGUUCUGACAGUGUGAAUGAAACAAAGCAGUCGAUCAUCACCUCUCACUUCCAGCCAGCUCGUCGGUGACUCUCCUCUAGAAGGAUGGAGACACUUGUAGAAACCUUCCUCUGCUUUAAUGAUCAUUUUCCCUGGUUUCUCUCUCCCAAUGAAAACAUUAUUUCUGUAGAACGUAGCUUCAAAGUCUGACGUGGAUUUGUCAUCAUCUUUGUCUUUUUUAUAGGAACAACCAAGUGUCACAUCUUCUCCCUCAAAGACAGGAGAUGAAGGACUCUCGAGGAUCACAGUUUUAUCUGAAAUGAAACAAUUUUAUAAAAAUUAUAUUUUCUAAAAAUGUAGAAAAGUCCAUGUUUAGAGUGAACUCAGRCAAGAUGCAUGUCCAUUACCAGURACAGUGAGAUUGACCCUGUUGCUUCGUUCUCUUUGGUCACAUUCACACCAGUACACGCCGGUGUCAGUUGGGUAAGCAUCCUCAAUGGUGCAGGAGGAAUCUCCAGGGAGCGCCCAGCCAUGCUGACAUUCCUGAGGAGGAUUGUUCUUUAUCAUCCUCAUCACUUUCCAGUCACUGGAGUUUGUCACACAGGUUUGUUGCCAUGGAUAGUGUCAUUGUUCUGGUGAACUGCUAGGUAACUACUCCCCUUUUUGCUGCACCUUUCUGCAUCUCCUCUCUGCCUGUUAGUGAGGAGAACCAGGUGGACUCAAUCUCCUAGCAAUCAGAGUGCAGCUACCUUUGGUGUGACUGACCUGUCACUCCUGUUUGAGAGAAUGGAAGCAAACAGUGCUGGUAGCAUGUAAAUUCAGAACUGUGUAAAAGUUUCUAAAAACUGAAAGACAGCUGGUGAGCCUCACAAUGCUGCUGCUCAUUGCUGAAUUUCAUUGGAGCAGCAAAUGAGCUCUGAUUGAUUGUUGUAUCAAAUUGUUUAAUCUUAUAACUGAAUGUAGAUUGACAAAGCUAGUAAGUUAAAAAGAAUAAAAAAUACACUURGUGUUUAUUGGUUAAAAUAGUAAGAAAAAAAUAAAUGUUGGUCAGA